rnacentral:rRNA from 1 species
CCUACGGGUGGCAGCAGUCGAGAAUCAUUCACAAUGGGGGAAACCCUGAUGGUGCGACGCCGCGUGGGGGAAUGAAGGUCUUCGGAUUGUAAACCCCUGUCAUGUGGGAGCAAAUUAAAAAGAUCGUACCACAAGAGGAAGAGACGGCUAACUCUGUGCCAGCAGCCGCGGUAAUACAGAGGUCUCAAGCGUUGUUCGGAAUCACUGGGCGUAAGGCGUGCGGAGGCUGUUUCGUAAGUCGUGUGUGAAAGGCGCGGGCUCAACCCGCGGACGGCACAUGAUACUGCGAGACUAGAGUAAUGGAGGGGGAGCCGGAAUUCUCGGUGUAGCAGUGAAAUGCGUAGAUAUCGAGAGGAACACUCGUGGCGAAGGCGGGUUCCUGGACAUUAACUGACGCUGAGGCACGAAGGCCAGGGGAGCGAAAGGGAUUAGAUACCCCAGUAGUC